AGUGAACGCUGGCGGUAGGCCUAACACAUGCAAGUCGAACGGCAGCACAGUAAGAGCUUGCUCUUACGGGUGGCGAGUGGCGGACGGGUGAGGAAUACAUCGGAAUCUACUUUUUCGUGGGGGAUAACGUAGGGAAACUUACGCUAAUACCGCAUACGACCUACGGGUGAAAGCAGGGGAUCUUCGGACCUUGCGCGAUUGAAUGAGCCGAUGUCGGAUUAGCUAGUUGGCGGGGUAAAGGCCCACCAAGGCGACGAUCCGUAGCUGGUCUGAGAGGAUGAACAGCCACACUGGAACUGAGACACGGUCCAGACUCCUGGAGGAGGAAGCAGUGGGGAAUAUUGGAGAAUGGAGGAAAGCCGGAUCCAGCAAUACCGCGGAGGUGAAGAAGGACUUCGGGUUGGAAAGCCAUUUUGUUGGGAGAGAAAAGCAGCAGGUUAAUACCCCGCUGUUCUGACGGUACCCGAAGAAUAAGCACCGGCUAACUUCGUG
rnacentral:rRNA from 1 species